AAAACAGUAGGGGUUUUGGAAAGUGGUCGUUCUGAGAACAAUGACACUGGUGCACGCGUGCAUGUGAAGACUCCAUUUUCUAUUUUCAGUGUUUGAACGAAAACAAGGUCUUCCGGUUGGAAUAUUAUCGCUAUUUUACGAGAAAAAUCGCAUAAAAAUUGAUUUUAAACAGCGUUUGACAUGCUUCGAAGUACGGUAUUGGAAUAUUUUGAAUUUUUUUGUCACGAUAUGCGCCGGCACUUCACCCUUCAGAUAGUGUCUCGAACGCAAGAACAAAACGCAGCUAUUUGGAUAUAACUGUGGAUUAUUUGGAACCAAAACAACAUUGGGUGUUGAAGUAGAAGUCCUGGGAGUGCAUUCUGAUGAAGAACAGCAAAGGGGAAGACUGGACAGAGCCUGGUAGACCCCCACCUGUUCCGGUCUUUUGAUUCCAGAUCCAGUUGGGACCUGGAGAGAGCGACAGAUCCACGCAACAUGCUAACUCACAGG
rnacentral:lncRNA from 1 species